rnacentral:rRNA from 1 species
AUAACCGGCGAUUUCCGAAUGGGGAAACCCAGUGUGACUCGUCACACUAUCAUUAACUGAAUCCAUAGGUUAAUGAGGCGAACCGGGGGAACUGAAACAUCUAAGUACCCCGAGGAAAAGAAAUCAACCGAGAUUCCCCCAGUAGCGGCGAGCGAACGGGGAGGAGCCCAGAGCCUGAAUCAGCAUGUGUGUUAGUGGAAGCGUCUGGAAAGGCGCGCGAUACAGGGUGACAGCCCCGUACACAAAAGCGCAUGUGCUGUGAGCUCGAUGAGUAGGGCGGGACACGUGGUAUCCUGUCUGAAUAUGGGGGGACCAUCCUCCAAGGCUAAAUACUCCUGACUGACCGAUAGUGAACCAGUACCGUGAGGGAAAGGCGAAAAGAACCCCGGCGAGGGGAGUGAAAAAGAAC